rnacentral:rRNA from 1 species
GAUGAACGCUGGCGGCGUGCCUAAUACAUGCAAGUCGAGCGAACAGACGAGGAGCUUGCUCCUCUGACGUUAGCGGCGGACGGGUGAGUAACACGUGGAUAACCUACCUAUAAGACUGGGAUAACUUCGGGAAACCGGAGCUAAUACCGGAUAACAUGUUGAACCGCAUGGUUCAACAGUGAAAGACGGUUUUGCUGUCACUUAUAGAUGGAUCCGCGCCGCAUUAGCUAGUUGGUAAGGUAACGGCUUACCAAGGCAACGAUGCGUAGCCGACCUGAGAGGGUGAUCGGCCACACUGGAACUGAGACACGGUCCAGACUCCUACGGGAGGCAGCAGUAGGGAAUCUUCCGCAAUGGGCGAAAGCCUGACGGAGCAACGCCGCGUGAGUGAAGAAGGUCUUCGGAUCGUAAAACUCCGUUAUUAGGGAAGAACAAAUGUGUAAGUAACUAUGCACGUCUUGACGGUACCUAAUCAGAAAGCCACGGCUAACUACGUG